GCGAGUAUAGUUCAGUGGUAGAACUAUAGCCUUCCAAGCUAUUAAUGUCGGUUCGAUUCCGAUUACUCGCUCCA
rnacentral:tRNA from 1 species